CUGGGCGCGCGCCACGGCCCGCUGGUAAUGCCCAUCCUGGAGAAGACUUGCUUUGGCCGCACCGGUGUUUGUCCGAGGGUCUAAAGUCCCUGGAGGAUGACCUAGCACUUGGAAGCCCCACCGGCCUACUGAGGGCCCCCGUGGAUGCGCCGGCCCGACCCGCAGCUGCGAGGCGGGCAGGCACCCAGACUUGCGACCCUCCGCACCCUCGGGUGCCGGGGUUCUGGGCCAGGCGCGCCUCUUGAACUCAAGACUAGUACAAUCGUUUCUUUUCGAAGAAGGGUUUCCUCUUUUUUUUUUCCUUUCUUUUUCUUUCUUUGCGUUUUUGUUGAUUUUUGGUUUGGGGUUUUUUGUUUUUUUUUUUUUGAGAAGGGAAUUUUAGGGGGACAAAAGGAAGAACCGUGCGUACCAGGGGCAAUAGAUAAGGGACCGCCGGCGAGAAUCGGAGGCGUUGGGUCCAGGAUGGAUGUGGCCGACCCGCAGCAGCUGGGCAUGUUUACAGAGGGGGAGCUGAUGUCCGUGGGGAUGGACACGUUCAUCCACCGCAUCGACUCCACGGAAGUCAUCUAUCAGCCCCGGCGCAAGCGGGCCAAGCUCAUCGGCAAGUACUUGAUGGGAGACCUGCUGGGGGAGGGGUCCUACGGCAAGGUGAAGGAGGUGCUGGACUCAGAGACGCUGUGCAGGAGAGCUGUCAAAAUCCUCAAGAAGAAGAAGUUGCGAAGGAUCCCCAACGGGGAGGCGAACGUCAAGAAGGAAAUCCAGCUACUGAGGCGACUGCGGCACAAAAACGUCAUCCAGCUAGUGGAUGUGUUAUACAACGAAGAGAAGCAGAAGAUGUAUAUGGUGAUGGAGUACUGCGUGUGUGGGAUGCAGGAGAUGCUGGACAGUGUGCCGGAGAAGCGCUUCCCCGUGUGCCAGGCCCAUGGGUACUUCUGCCAGCUGGUAGACGGCCUGGAGUACCUGCACAGCCAGGGCAUCGUGCACAAGGACAUCAAGCCGGGCAACCUGCUGCUCACCACCGGUGGUACGCUCAAGAUCUCCGACCUGGGUGUGGCUGAGGCCCUGCACCCCUUUGCCGAGGACGACACGUGCCGGACGAGCCAGGGCUCCCCAGCAUUCCAGCCUCCUGAGAUUGCCAAUGGCUUGGACACCUUCUCUGGCUUUAAGGUGGACAUCUGGUCAGCUGGGGUCACUCUCUAUAACAUCACGACAGGCCUGUACCCGUUUGAGGGGGACAACAUCUACAAGUUGUUUGAGAACAUCGGGAAGGGAGACUACACGAUCCCGGGUGACUGCGGCCCCCCGCUCUCGGACUUGCUGAGAGGGAUGCUGGAAUACGAGCCAGCCAGGAGGUUCUCCAUACAGCAGAUCAGACAACACAGCUGGUUCCGGAAGAAGCACCCGCCCGCUGAGGAGCUGGUGCCCAUCCCGCCGAGCACGGACUGCAAAGACCGCUGGCGUGGCAUGACGGUAGUGCCCUACCUGGAGGACCUGCACGGCUGUGCUGACGACAACGGGGACGAGGACCUGUUCGAUACCGAGGAUGACAUCAUCUACACUCAGGACUUCACGGUGCCCGGUCCCAGAGGAGGAGGCUGGUCAGAACGGGCAGAGCCGGGGCCCACCCAGAGUGGUGUGCGUGAAUGGCACAGAGUCGGCCCAGCUGAGCGCCAAAUCAAAGGUGGAACGCCGGGCCAGCGCCGUCUCCAACCCCACUCGCAAGGCCUGCUCGGCCAGCAGCAAGAUCCGCCGGCUGUCUGCCUGCAAGCAGCAGUGAGGGAGGCCACCCACAGCCCGUUUCAUGGAGCCCCAGCCAGGUGCCACAGCCCAGGUCCUGAGUCUUCCCGCCGACUGCUGGCCCAUGGCUGCUGCCCAGGAAGGCCACCACCACACCCUCCUUGCCGACUGCUCCUCAGGAAGCCAGGGGUCUUGGAGGGCCGUGGCUGGGGGACAGCAGGGUCUGGGGCCUGGCCUUCCCCUCAUGGCCAGUGGACACGACCUCUUGUUGACUUUGCAGCCCUGUGCCAAGCCCCUUCCCCUGGCCAGGGGAGGAGGGAGCACACCGGCUCACGGGCCCUGUGGGAAGCCCUUGCCACGCACUUUAUGUUCAGACUACUGGUUCUCUCCCCAGCCCUGACUUCUUUUUACUCUGCUCCACGUUAGCGCCUCCCACACCUAGUGAUGUGUUCAGACAAACCACAGCCACAGCAGGAGCCGGGAUGAAGAACAGGCCUGUCAACCAAGAUGCAUGCCCAGAGCCCAAGGGAGCCAGGCGGCUGCCUUGUUUUUGUUUGGUCUCUGUGCUCCUGGGUCCCCAGAGAAAACCCGGACUAAGCAAGAGUGUGCAGUAAAUAUUUAUAAUCAACCAGAAAACAAACACAAGAAACUCCAUCACUGGAUGGUACACAGACGGCACGAAGCUCCGAGGGGCGGGGCGGGGCGGGGUGGGGCGA